rnacentral:rRNA from 1 species
UACGGGGGGGGGCAAGCGUUGUUCGGAAUUACUGGGCGUAAAGGGCUCGUAGGCGGCCAACUAAGUCAGACGUGAAAUCCCUCGGCUUAACCGGGGAACUGCGUCUGAUACUGGAUGGCUAGAGGUUGGGAGAGGGAUGCGGAAUUCCAGGUGUAGCGGUGAAAUGCGUAGAUAUCUGGAGGAAUACCGGUGGCGAAGGCGGCAUCCUGGACCGACAUUGACGCUGAAAGCCGAAAGCUAGGGGAGCAACGGG